rnacentral:rRNA from 1 species
UGGUAGGGAUGAUUAUUGGGCUUAAAGCGUCCGUAGCCGGCUCAACAAGUCCCCUGUUAAAUCCAACGACCCAAUCGCUGGACUGCAGGAGAUACUGCUGGGCUAGGGGACGGGAGAGGCCGACGGUAUUUCCGGGGGAGGGGUGAAAUCCUAUAAUCCCGGGAGGACCACCAGUGGCGAAG